rnacentral:rRNA from 1 species
UACGGAGGGUGCGAGCGUUGUCCGGAAUCAUUGGGCGUAAAGGGCGCGUAGGUGGCCUGGUCAGCGUGCGGUGAAAGCCUGGGCUCAACCCGGUCGGCCGUGCGAACUGCUGGCUUGAGCACUGUAGAGGCAGGCGGAAUUCCGGGUGUAGCGGUGGAAUGCGUAGAGUAUCGAGAGGAACACCUGCGGCGAGGCGGGAUUGCUGGGCCGACACUGACGCUGAUGCGCGAAAGCCAGGGAGCGAACCGGG